rnacentral:lncRNA from 1 species
CUGCAGACCAUCGUGGCCCUUUGCAGUGUUCGGAAACAUAUGCGCACCCCAGGGAGGGACACACACACACACACACACACACACACACACACACACACACACGCAAACUCACAAACACAACACACAGACAGAAAAUGACAAAUAAACACACACACUCACACACACACACACAGGAGCCCACAGAAAAAAGCAAAUAGACGCAGAAACGGGCACGUGCAGUAGUUCUGGCCACACAUGUUCCCUAGGUAUCCACAGAAUGGCAUGGGUAUUGUAUAUUCAUAAAGAUGGAGAUCAGUCAUGGAGGCCAAGGACAAGUAGGUGCACUGGUUGAACUACAGUAGAGAAUGGCAUGGAAGUGGUGAGCAAUGGACCUGGGCCUGUUUCUCAAGUGUGUAUUUGAUUUCUUUACAAUUCCCCGGAGAAGUUGUCAUGGGAGGCCAGCCGCCUGCUGGCAAGGAAGAUGGUUGAUUCUUCUGAUCAAUGGAGGCCCUGCAGAGUCCUGUAGUCACUGUGGCCUGGCAUCCAUGGUGCACCCAAUGCUGGUGGAUGGCUUAGGACGGUACGCCUCACCUGAGAGGGCGGCUAGAGACAGUGUCUGCUCAGGACAUCAGAUGUCCCGUGAGGAGGAGUGUGUACUCACACCAGGGGAGUUGACUGAGGCAGUUGCUGUGGGAGGUGUGGUAACUGCUGGAAGGAAGAUGCUCAAUUCUUCUGAGCAACGAAGGCCACACGGAGUCCUGGAUUCUGUGUGGCCUGGCAUCCAUGGCGCACUGUGUGCUGGCAGGUGGCUCAGGACGAGUAGUGGGCUCCACUGUUGGGCACAUCUUCCUGGAAGUCGUCUCUUGGCCCGCCAUUGCCGAGCGGCCACACCUGCUGCAGCUCGUGUGAGCAAAUAUGGCUCUGGAUCCUCUUUCCUGCUUUGAAAGCAGCUUCCAUCCUGAAGGCGUCCAGAGGGGGCAGUUAUCAUGGGACACCCGCCAUAUGCUGGCAAGGAAGAUGGUCAGUUCUUCUGAGCCACAAAGGCCCCCAACAUCCUG